rnacentral:rRNA from 1 species
UACGAAGGGGGCUAGCGUUGCUCGGAAUCACUGGGCGUAAAGGGUGCGUAGGCGGGUCUUUAAGUCAGGGGUGAAAUCCUGGAGCUCAACUCCAGAACUGCCCUUUGAUACUGAAGAUCUUGAGUUCGGGAGAGGUGAGUGGAACUGCGAGUGUAGAGGUGAAAUUCGUAGAUAUUCGCAAGAACACCAGUGGCGAAGGCGGCUCACUGGCCCGAUACUGACGCUGAGGCACGAAAGCGUGGGGAGCAACAGG